rnacentral:rRNA from 1 species
UACAGAGGGGGCAAGCGUUGUUCGGAAUUACUGGGCGUAAAGGGCGCGUAGGCGGCCUGCUAAGUCGAACGUGAAAUCCCUGGGCUCAACCCAGGAACUGCGUCCGAUACUGGUUGGCUUGAAUCCGGGAGAGGGACAUGGAAUUCCAGGUGUAGCGGUGAAAUGCGUAGAUAUCUGGAGGAACACCGGUGGCGAAGGCGACGUCCUGGACCGGCAUUGACGCUGAGGCGCGAAAGCCAGGGGAGCAAACGGG